AUGGCACGUACAAAGCAAACAGCCCGAAAAUCCACUGGUGGUAAAGCACCACGCAAACAGUUGGCAACUAAAGCUGCUCGCAAGAGUGCACCUGCUACUGGAGGAGUUAAAAAACCUCAUCGUUACAGGCCAGGUACCGUAGCCCUUCGUGAAAUUAGACGUUACCAGAAAAGUACUUAUUAGAAAACUACCUUUCCAACGUCUUAUCCGUGAAAUUGCUCAAGAUUUUAAGACAGAUUUACAGAUUUUAUAUUUGGUAGGUUUAUUCGAAGAUACCAACUUAUGCGCUAUUCAUGCUAAGAGAGUGACUAUUAUGCCUAAAGACAUUCAGUUGGCCAGAAGAAUCAGAGGAGAAAGGGCAUAAAGAAAUAGAAGACAUUAAAAAAUAUAUUUUAGAACUUAAUUUAAAUGUUGACUGUCUUUCUAUUAGCAAUCAAGAAAACUAUAUAUUUGAUUUAACAAAUAAAAACGAUCAAAAUUUUGAGUUGUCACUUUUCUUUUAAAAUAUGUCGCUUUUUUAAACAUUAAUGCAAAAUACCUAGGAGAUUUCUCAAAAUACAUACAAGGGUUUUCUCAACUAUAUGUUAAUGUAGAACGCCAGAAUAUAACUGAAAACUGUCAUUGUUUCGGAAUAAAAUAUUGAUUUUACUGCCAAAAGAAUAAUGACACUACCGCCAUCUUGCAAUGUGAAACUUCUUGGUAAAAGUAUACGACUUUUGGAGUCAUUUAACAAGAUAACUGGAAUUAUGCAUUUCGUCAGUCUAAAUCGCAAAUUGCCUAAGUCACAAAUUGAAAAUUUUAGAGGAGAGACAAAAAAAGUGUGGAGUUUGCCUAUGUCCUAUGAGUAAAAUAACUUUCGUUUACCGAAAUUGCCGUGAAAUAAAAUAAUAAUUGCGCUUGUGGGAAUUGUCAGGCAGUAGCUUUUACCGUCUACUACUAGAUGAAACCAAAAAACAAUUUUCGCAAAAAAUGGACUUGGCAAUUUGCGAUUUAGACCGACGAUUUGUCACUUUUCUUCCUGAUGAGCGAUAUAUCAGUUUAAUGUGAUUACCUCAAUUUCCAUAAAUUUCAACUAGUUCAUUCAUCGUUUAAUCUGUAAUCAGUUCUAUAAAUAGUUUAAUUCCUUCAAAUAUUAAGACCAUAAGAAACUAUUAAAUGUUACAUUUUCAACUAUAAAUAAAUUAUUGUUUACCAAUAGACAACUGAUUACUGAUUAACAAAUAAUCAACAUUGCACUUAUCUUUUAAAAUGAGACUGAUCCGUUCUUAAGUUAUUCUAGAAUAGGCAUUUUUUAUUUUGUAGUUUUGUGACGGCUAAUGGACUAAACCAAUAUUUUCUUAAGUGUAUUUUUUAAGCGUUUUACUAAAUAAGACCAUGUAAUUUUGUUCUGAUCUGGUAACAUACUCUGUAAGGCUGUUUUUGGAUUUAUUUUUAUAUUACUAGAUUUCAUUAUAUACAAAAAAAGGAUGAGAAUCUUUCAAAUAGAGAGUUGUGCUGUUUUUGAUAUAUACACAUCAAUUUGUAUUUUGUUCUGUUUAUAUUGACAUCAAAAUGGUACUUAUAAUAAUAAAUUAUAAAAUAGGAAA